rnacentral:lncRNA from 1 species
CCAGAACGGCUGAAUAUUUCUUGAGCUUUAGUACCAAUAAGUGCUACUUGAUCUCUAGGCGGAGGCUCCACUGGAUCCUCCUAGCCUUCCUGCUCUCAUCUAUCAAUGUCUCAGGGGAGUAUCGGCCUAGCUCUAGGAACUUAUGAGCAUAUUCCGAUACCGUCAUGUUUCCCUAGACCAGCUGGACAAACUCCAUCUCCUUUAGAUGUCGGAUGUGCUCGGGGAGGUACUCCGCAUGAAAGGCUGCUAAGAACUUAUUUCAAGUGACUGGUGUAGGAAGGGUGGUCUGCUUGAGCUCCCACCAAUGACCUGCUUCCCCCACCAGCAUGUAGGAAGCAAGGGUAACCCUUUACUCGGAAACCACUCCAAAUGUCUUGAAAGCCUUCUCUGUCUCCGCCAACCAGUACUGGGCAUCUUCGAAAGAGGACUCCCCUGCAAAAGUGGAAGGGUUCAGUCUCCUGUACCUCUCUAUGUAGCCCGGGUCAAUCAGGGAAGGAGUUGGGUCUCGUGGAAGAGGGACUGGGCCGAGCUGAGG